CCUCACUGUAUCUUGGAGGUAACUAACUUGUUUUUAUUUUUUAUUUUACAGGCUCAUAGGCAGAAAGGACUUCUCAUAUCUCAGAUAAGACAUUGGACUUCGACUUUUGAGUUAAUGCUGGAAUGACCAAAUGAGCGAGCUUGGAGCUGCAUCUGCCAGUCCCAGUAAAGCUUUCAGCUGAUUAUAUCCCUGGCCAGCAGCCUACUGCAGCCUCCUGAGGAACCCUGAACCAAGCCAGAACCACCCAGCUAAGCAGCUCCACGAUUCCUGAUCUUCAGAAACUCUAUGAAAUAAUAAAUGUUCAUUGUGUUAAACUGCUAAAUGUUAGGGUAAUUUGAUAUGCAUCAAUGGAUAAUAAAUAUGUUAAUUGUAAAUAGCAACCUUUACAUAUAACAUGCCUGUCUUUGACUCAUUUAAUGCUUUCUGACUUGAGAUCCUGUUUGUCUAAUUAUGAUCUUUGUCUUCGUGUCUGCAUUUGAUGGAUAGACCUUUGCCAAAACGUUUAUUUUAAAUCUAUAUGAAUGGCUUUGCUUUAGGUAUAAUAUGUCUCUUUUAUACUGCUUAGUAUUUCUUUCUUUGUGACAGUCUUUUUCUUUUAAUAGGUGAUUUUAGCCUGUUCACAUUUAUUAAUAUGACUGAUGUAUUUGGUCUUGGCUUCUGCAUAUUUUUCAGUAUUGAUGUUACUUUGCUGAGUUCUUUACUAUGAACUCUCUUUUCUUUGUGUGUGUGUGUGUGUGUAUGUGUGUGUGUGUGUGUGUGAAGUUAGUUUGACAGUUAGAAAAACUGCAUUUUUGUUUUAGUGGUUAUAUUUGUACUUAGGACUUUAUAUAACUUCUUUAGUUCUCUACUUCUUUAGAUAGCAUCUAUUAGUUCCCUCCUAUGAACAAUGAUAAAGCGGUGUACUUCUUUCUUCUCCUUUACUUUUCUUUUCUCCACUUCUCAAUUUAUGUCAUUUAUAUUACUUUUUCGGUAUAUACUUCUGUACUGUUAAAUAGGCAUAUAGUUCAAUCACUUGAUUUGUCAGCUUUAAAAUACAUGCUUUUACUCUUGGUUGUAAAAGUUUAAGCAAACAGCAAACACUCUAUCUUCAAUCUUCCUCCUGAUCCUCUCAUAAUUUAUAUUCAUUGUAUCAUUGCUAUAUUUUUUGAACAUUAUUUAUCUUCUAUUCCUCAGCCUAAUCUUCACACUGUUUUUAGUUAUUUAGUUAUUUUGCUCCAACUUCCCUAGUUAACUAUUGGUUGAUUAUGCUGAAAUCAUGCAUGUUCAAAAUUGCUUGUCUAUAGCCUUUAUAACUGAAGAACUGCUCACUGAAGAGCACUUGGGCUGGAUAUAAAAAUCCUCAGGUGUCAUUUUCUUAUCUUGAGGACUCUGUAGAUGUUACUCCUCUGUCUUAUAACAUUAAAAGUUAAUUUGAAUAAA